UCGGGAAACGAGCGCCUACAAGCCGACUACUCGGGUCUUCUGGCCGCGCUGGAGCCCUCGCCGGACAAUGCGGAGCUCUCCGCGCCGAAUGACGGCCUGAACGCCUCAGAGAUUGCGGCGCUGAACCACCAGCUCGGACCAGUCGUGAGCUUCGAGCGCGACGGCGCUUCGUUGAUCGC
rnacentral:misc_RNA from 1 species